CCCUUAGAUGUUCUGGGCCGCACGCGUGCUACACUGAGUGGAUCAGCGGGUCAGGUUGCGCGAAAGCGUUUCCUAAUCUUUAAAUCCGCUCGUGAUGGGGAUUGACGGUUGCAAUUUUCUGUCAUGAACGAGGAAUACCUUGUAAGCGCGGGUCAUCAUCCCGCGCUGAAUACGUCCCUGCCCUUUGUACACACCGCCCGUCGCUCCUACCGAUUGAGUGGUCCGGUGAGGCUUUGGGAUCUGAGCGGAAAGAGCGUUUCGCUGUUUCUGCUCGAAAACUCAGUCGAACCUUAUCAUUUAGAGGAAGGAGAAGUCGUAACA
rnacentral:rRNA from 1 species